GGGGCUGAUUCUUGGAUUUUGACGAAGUUUGUUUGUUUUUUGAGGUGCAUGUCGAGGGUAAGGCUGGCCUCGUAAAAAGCCUUAAUUUUUAAUUAAUUGCAAAUAAUACUAAGUAUGAACCUGUUGCAUUGGCAGCUUAAAGUUAGUUUAAAAAACUAAAGGUUCCUUCUUUGAAUUGUCUCUUCUCUUGAGCACAAUUCAAUUAUAAGAAGUUACAUUUAUUAAGAGACAAUUCGUUAUUUGUAAUCCUAAAACAAAUAGCGCUGGAAUAUGUAAAAAUAGGAUUGUUGAUUAGUAAUUCUGUUCAUGUAUAGCUACUCAAUAAAAAUUAAAACAUGAACCAAACAUGUAGUAUCCGCAAAUUUCAAAAAUUUCGGACGCGGGUUCGAAUCCCGCCAGCUCCACCA
rnacentral:tmRNA from 1 species